UACAGAGGUCCCGAGCGUUGUUCGGAUUCACUGGGCGUAAAGGGUGCGUAGGCGGUCGGAUAAGUUUGAUGUGAAAUCUCCGGGCUUAACCCGGAAACUGCAUUGAAUACUAUUCGGCUUGAGGUCUGGAGGGGGGACUGGAAUUCUCGGUGUAGCAGUGAAAUGCGUAGAUAUCGAGAGGAACACCUGCGGCGAAGGCGGGUUGCUGGGCUGAUACUGACGCUGAGGCGCGAAAGCCAGGGGAGCGAACGGG
rnacentral:rRNA from 1 species